CAUUGCUUUAUUAAUCAUCGUGCUCAUUAGGCCGCUGUGGGGCGUUUGAUUCUGGAAGCUUUAAAGACUUCAAAUGGUGUACCUUCAGGAAACCGUCUACGUGUAGUAUUCAGUCCGUGCAUUCUCAGGGAAGAACGGUGCUUCUUUUCCCCCUCCCAAGCGAAUCUUCCCCAGCCUGUGGUUCACGCUGCACUGGUGAUCGUGUGCGUGAGUGCGCGCAGCUGUUUGUCUCGAGCUCCGGGACCAGGCGAUGGGACGCAUGCGUCGGGCACCCGCGCUCCGCUCCGGGCCGUGCGACUGAGCGAGCCUCCUUUUGAUUGACAGGUGGAGGGCGAGGCGCGGGCACGGAGCGACGCUCGCUCCCCGCUGCGUCACCCUGCCCCCCCACCCCGCCCCUCCCCCAAUCACCCCCCGCACCCCAGCAUUGCCCCGCCAGCAACAUGGCGGCGCUCAGCCCGGAGCCCGGAGCCGCAACGGGGUUACGAGCCGGCGCCCAGCUCUCCGUCACUGUGGAACACGUCGUUAGCGGCACCUUAGUGGUGUCCACCAACUUCGGAGGCAGCAGCUUCACCGGGAUCCUGAUAGACAUGGCCAAGAAGUCUGGUUUGUGUGGUUUACUACCAAACCCGUUUCCUGUUGAAUCAUGCACCAGUGAAUUCCUUGAUGGGAAAGAACAGCCAGUCUGUCAGACUGAGUCUGAGCUCUGCAACUUGCAGCAUCCCAAGAUGUCAAACAGAGAACAAGUUUCACCUCUUCAGCCAUUACCAAAAACUGUGCCUUGCUUUCCACCUUAUUGUGAAGGUGUACCUCUGCCACAACCUCUGGUAUUGAGACAAACUUACAAUCAGUGGGUUCCCCAGCCUCCACCUCGGACAAUCAAACGCACCAAAAGGCGCCUAUCAAGGAAUCGUGAUCCUGGUAAGCUUAUAAUGAGCACCAUUAGAUUGCGACCUAGGCAGGUACUGUGUGAAAAGUGCAAAAACACACUAAAUCGUGAGGAAGAGGAUGAUGAUGACAAAGAUGGACACAACAAUAAGAAUGAGAAAAAGACUAGCAUGGAAGAAAAUGAAAAGAGGAAACUUGAGGUAAUGUGUUGUGAAAAUAGGAAAAUAAAAAAGGAAAAGAAAGAUGAUAAAUUUUCUAGUGAGAUGGUGCAUCGAAGCCCAGUAAUUAAAAUAUCAUACAGCACUCCUCAAGGGAAAGGAAAGGUGGUGAAAAUUCCAUCACGGGUACAUGGCUCAGUUGAGCCAUUUUGUCCUAAACGGUUAGGUCAAAAUGAAAGUGUGGACCAGGACAAGAACACACAUUGUGAUGAGAUGGAGGUUCUUCAAGAAAAGUCAUUUUCUAGUCCAUCUGGAACCAUUCCAAAGCUAAAACUAACUAGGCCUUUGCAUUCCAUGGCAGACAUCCCACCACCUAGAAUUCGAUUAAAACCUCAUCGGCUCAGUAACGGGGACAAUGUUGCAAUUUAUAAGGCUGAGCUUGUAGAUGAUAUAAAUAGUGAAGUGCAACCUGCACGGAGAUCAGAUAGUGGUACACUUCAUUCUGAAGAAUCCACAGGAAAGAGUUCGGUGGAGACAUCAGGGAGUUCUGGAGAGGAGGACCAAUGGAGGUAUAAAAGGAGUCGUCGAAGCAAGGAUCAAGAUGAUCUGACUGUAUAUUUAAGUUAUAGGAAAAAAAGAGCAGAUUCAUCAAGCUUAUCAGUCUGUAGCAACGAUAGUCUAGAUGAAUCAAAGUCUUCUAGUUCAGAAAUAACUUCACCAGAAAUAUGUGAUUUUGCACCUGGAGAUGAUGCAUCUGUGUCAUCUUCUUCCAAAGAAGAAAAGACUGUGCCACCCUUAACUGUGAGACUUCAUACCAAAACUGUCACAAGAUGUGUAACAACCGAAGGCAGGACUAUAUCCGUUGGCGAUAUUGUAUGGGGGAAGAUUCAUGGCUUCCCCUGGUGGCCUGCACGUAUUCUUGGCAUUAGUGUUAACAAGAAGGAAAAUGGGACUCCAGUGUGGCAGGAAGCCAGGGUGUCUUGGUUUGGAUCACCUACAACAUCGCUGCUUUCUGUGUCAAAAGUCUCGCCAUUUUUGGAGUAUUUUAAGUUGAGGUUUAACAGGAAGAAGAAAGGAGUGUACCGCAGGGCGAUUACAGAAGCUGCAAAGGCAGCUGAUCACCUGACACCUGAAAUCCGAUCUCUCCUUUCGCAAUACGAAACUUAACUGAGCCAAAGCAGAUAGCCGAAGAUCAGGAGAAAAAAAAGUCAAUAUCCUCUCUGAUUUAAAUGGCUUUGAUCUUCAGCCAGUACUCCAUUGGAGAAUUUUGUUUGGUAUUUACGAGGCUAUCGGAUCCUGGUGAAUUCUUGUCAACAGUUAUCUUGAAGGAGCCGAAGGACUGGGCUUUAUCUGUGACGGGCAAGAGUGGAGCAGAGGGAAGUCUGACAUUUCAUUUCGGACUGUUAUUGAUUGUGAUGGAGCCCAUAUUCUCAUGGGUGGACAGUGAAUAGUAUAAGUUGGAAUGUAGCUAUUUAAGUCACUACUCUUUGUCUAAGACUUGUCUCAAUCAAAAUAAAAUUACUGCAAAAAUUUCUAAGGGUGAGUAAUGGAUAAAGACUAGUCUCUUUAUUUUGAUUCCUGUUUUUUUAAUUAUGUAAUGCAGUAGUUUUAAUACAGCAAGUAUAAAAUGUCUAAAUACUGCAAUUGCCCAAUGGUCUUGCAAACAAUUGCAGGGCAUAAUAGGCAUUAUUUGUAACUUCAUUAGCAUUUAGCAGCAUAUGAUUAUCUCUGCACCAGAUGCAAAGCUUGCAGAAGGCCUGUGUUGCCUCUUCCUCCAGUAACAUUGGAUAUGUUCCAAAUGCACAAAUAAUGCUGAAGUAGUAAUGGUUUGAAAAUAGUUCCGUACUGUAACCUGAAGAUGAAAUUGUAACAUGAUGAGUUUACAGUGGAGAAGAGUUAAUUAAUAAAAAGAUCAAGUUUCCAGGGGGAGUCCUUAUUGAAAGGCAUUUAAUGUUGACUCUUUGACAUUGAGCAAUAUUGUGGAUGCCAUGAUUUGGUGUUUUCUAAUUACACCCUGUUUUCAUUGUAGAAUGAUGGCUAGCUGUAAUGUUUGUUUUGCACAACAAUGCUAAAAUAACUGCAUACUGUCAACCUUUUGAAGAUUUAAUGAAGAGGAAAGUAGAAGUUAAUGAGGAUCAUGUCAUGCCUGAAAAAUAAUACCUGACUGGUUAAAGGGGGUUAACAGAUUUAUUGAAUGCAUUGUCCUCGUGUUUAGAAUGAUUGGGGCCCAGAGUAAGUUAUAUUUUGUAUAGUGGAGCUCGCUAAUUCUGACUGAGUCUAAUUUGUUUCAAAAAGAUUGUCCUGUUUUAACCACUGAAAAAAGCACUACCUGAUGCUUACCAGUGUGUCCUUGCUCAGUCUUGUUCUUCAGAGAUGCCUUUUUGAGUAUUCCAUAAUGUGCCAGUUAGUUAUCAUGUCUUCAUGACUUGGAGCCAUACACAUCAGUAAGCCUGCCCUGUAUUCUGCCCAAAUAUUCGUUAAAGGUAAUGUUCUUACUAUGCAGAUGGAUUUUAAGGCUAUGAUAGGAGGGGUUAAAAAAAUCACUUUUGUUCCUAGCUUUGUCCAUUUGAUCCUGCUAUAGUCUCUCUAGUUAUCAAAUUAGGCAAGUCUGAAAUGCAGUCCACAAUAUAAGGAAUGGACACUUACGUAUUGAGGAUUGAUUAUCUGCAGAACAAAAUGAAAACACGAGCAGUUGCCUUCAGAAGGGAAAUCUGGAGAAAUGGAACAGUUUAGAAACAGCUAUUUUGUAUGGAAUGUACUUGCCAUGUGGGACUAGGGGGAUCAGCAAACACUUUCUGCAGGAGUUGAGAAUGUAAUUUGAAGUGAAAUUUGAGGUGGUAUUCACUCCUUGACUUCCUCUGGUCCAUUUUUCUUAAAAGUGCGCAAAUGACCUGUUUCAAAUAUAGGGUUUUGGGGUAAUUCAGUUGUCAAUCUCUUUAUACAGCUAGGAAGCCUGAAGACUUAUCUGAAGGAUUCCACCACAUUCCCAGUGUCCCUUUUUUUGUUGCAAAUUUCUGCAUGAGAUUCAGUCACUCUGCCUGUUGCCAACUUGAUUUCAGGGACAUCUCUUUAUCAUGAUCCUUUUGCUUGCCUGGAUGCUGACAAUACCUGUAGAUGCAAUAUCACUUGCUCAGACUUUUCUGGGAAUCAACACUGAGAUCAACAACUAUCAGCACUGAGACACGGCAGUGGAGGGCUGACUGAGUGAAGAGUUCUGCUGUCGAGACAGAGAUCUCUGGAUAGAAACCUGUUCGAACAGUUCCAUCGAACUGAUAAUGUUCAAGUUAACAUGGAGUAAGGAAUGUCAGGCACAUUUCUCGGUGCCUUAGAGCCUGCUGGGAAAUGCCUCUCCUGGUACAUUUGGCAAGAUUUGUUUUCUCCCUUGCCACGUUAUCCAGUAUGCUGUCAAUACCAGUUCAGUACAGCAGUUUCAUCAUCUGUAUGAUAAUAAUCUGCUCACAGAGUGACCAAGCUUUACUAAUCCUGUUGCCCUGCAACAAUACAAUUUAAAGUGCUAAGACUGAAGUAUGUAUUGCCUGGCAUCACUGAAAUCUCUGACCACCUUCGAUCUUAAAUGUAAAUUACAUGCCUGCAAUUUUUUUUCCAUCAGAGGUCGAGGUCAUACUUAGUCUCUGUUUCCUCAGCCAAAAAUCACUCCAGCCAACCGCUGCUGAUCUUGGCGCUAUCCCACAUUUUGCUGCUCAGUGUUGCGGUACAGAGGGCAGUUAAACUUCAAACUCAAGAGAAGUCUUUAUCUUUGUUUAGCUUAGAAGUAGGGAGCACAGACCCAGACAUUCCAUAAGGAUUCAAUAUUGUUUAUUGUCAUUCUUCAAUGCACGAGUAUGAGAAUAAAAUGGUUGUUAGUCCAAAUCCAAUGCAGCAUAAAAACGCAAUAAAUAUAGCAGCAAUCCUAUAAAACACAGUGUACAAGUAAAGAGGCAGUGCAUGGGGGAAUGAAGGGUGCUGAGGUGCUGUGGAAAGGAGUGGCUGACAUGGAUGCAGUGGUGGGGUGGGUUAAUGGGUGGAGAUGUUGAUCAGCCUCAUGGCUUGGGGAUGUAAUUGUUUUUGAAUCCAGUACUCAUGGCCUCCCUGAUAAAAGUUCCUCCAUCAAAGACUGCACUCGUAUUCUUGCAGAGAACCCUGGCAGCUGCCUGCUGAAAAAUCGCUGUGGUCCCCAUGCACAAGGUACAUACCUUCUGAGAGCAUCAAUCUGCACCAGACCAUCCAGGAGCAUACUCAUGUCCUGUCUUCCAUCUGUGCAAUAUUCCCUCAGUAGCAACAUCCUCAAGUAAUUGGAGUAGGUUUGUUGCACUGUGUAAUGUUACAUCCCUUGAAGAGUUUUUGUUCAAAUAAAUCACAACUGCUCUGAUGUAUGCUGAGAUGUACAAAAACCUAAAACAAUUCAGUAGAGAAUAAUGUGUUAAAAACCAGCAGUGUUGGGGUGAACCAACAUCAAAAUAUUGUACCUGUGCUGUGCUAACUAUUGUGCGAUGAGCUUGACCAAAUUCAAGAGGGUUUAGCAAAUAGUGGAGAAUGCAUUUCACCAAUUGUUGUGGGAUUCUUUUGCCUGAUGCACAUGUGGAAUUCAUCACUGGCUUGGAGCUCCUUAGUCUUCUGCGGAGAAGCACCAGCAACAGUAGUCAUUCAACUCAAGCAAAAGAAGGAAAGCUAGGAGAGAGCAAACAUUUCUAUACUUUCCUCCAUAAACUGACGACGUGCUGAAGGGCUUUACAGACAAUGGAGAGUUCUCAAAAUGUAGCAUUAGAGCCAGUUCACACACAGUAAGUUCUUGCUGUGAAUGAUGUAAUAAGAACUAGAUAUUCUUUUUGUGGUGAGGUUGCCAAACAGAUAUGUUUUGAGGAAUUAAAAAUAAAAUAUGAGCAGGAUUAGACCAUUGGGUCUCUCAAGCCUGCUUUGCGAUUCAUUGAAAUCAUGCCAGAUAUUCUAGCUCAACAUCAUGUUCUCAUAUCCUUUGCUUCCCCUAUUACCCAACAAUUUAUCAAUCUCAGUUUCAAAUGCGGUCAGUGACUGAGCUGUCCAGGGGGGAGAAAUCCAGUGAUCCACAACCCUCUGGGCAAAGGAAUUUCUCCUUAUUUGAGUUGCAAAUGUCUUCCCCUUAUUCUGAGUCAAUGACCCUUAUUUCUAGAUCUCUCAGCCAGAGAAACCAUUCCUGCCAUGUUUACCAUGUUGCUCCCUCUAACAAUUUUGCACACUUCAGCAGGACUAGCAAAGAUUAUGCUAAAAAAAAUUUAUUAAGGAAGAAAUUUCCAAGGUUUUAUUGCAAUGAAACCAUAAUUGUGAUGAGGAGGCAUGACAAUGAGUCUUGGUGAAAUUUCAAUGUUUUAUACGACCUAUAUAUACUGAGCAGAUGGUGCUUAGGACAGGCUCAAUAGGACUGUUGAUCAGUGGAGCAUUAGGUUCUGAUGAUAGGUGGGUGAAGAUUAUAGUGAAUGAAAUGGUUUAUUAUAAUAACGCUAAGGUAAGUGACAAUCAGAUAAUCAGUUUUUGAAGUAACAUAUUCACAAUAGAACAAAGUAAUCCCAUUCUGAAAGGUAUCAAUCAUCUUUUAUCUUAUUUAAUAUAUCAUAUUAAAUAUUCUUCCUGAUAGGCUGAAUGUCUUUUACACUCAGUUUGAUGCACAGAGCAAUAUGCCAGCGAGGAAGGCUCCCUUUUCCCCCUGAGGAGCAGGCAUUUUGUCCUGCCAUAGCUCAAGCCCCUAGCCAGAGUCAACCCAAGUAAUGCUGCGGGGCAGAAUGGCAUACCCGGCCAGGUGCUGAUGGACUAUGCAGCCCAGUUAACGGAGGUUCUAACGGACAUCUUCAAUAUCUCUCUUGAACAGACCACUGUCCCAUCAGGCUUCAAGGUAGCCACUAUCAUCCUGGUGUCCAAGAGGCCAAUAGUGUCCUACCUCAAUCACUACCGUGGUACUGACCUCAACAUUAAUGUGCUUUGAGCAGCUGGUUAUGGAUCACAUUAAAUCCCAUCUUCCUGCUACACUGGGCUCUUUUCAGUUUGCUUAUUGCUGAAAUCAGUCCACUGAGGAUGCCAUAGUCCACUCUGUCCUGUCCCUCCUGGAACAUGGUGCCUCAUAUGCCAUAAUGCUGUUUAUUGACUUCAGCUCGGCGUAUAAUAGCCCCUCAGAAGCCGGUGGGUAAACUGUCCUCAUUGGGUUUCAACACUUCUCUUUGUAACUGGAUCCUGGACUUCUUGACAGAAAGGCCACAGUCAGUCCAUCUAGGUGAAACAUCUCUAGCUCUGUCACACCGAGCACUGGCGCUCUCCAGGGCUGCAUGUUCAGCCCACUGCUGACACAUGCCUUGCGAGAUCCAGUCCGAACUGAAUCAUCAAGUUUGCUGAUGACACAACGGUGGUUGACUUCAUCAACAAUAACGAUGAGAUGGCAUACAGAGAGGAGGUAGAGUAGCUGGCAGAAUGGUGCAUGCACAUCAACCUGAGUCUCAACGUAGACAAGAUCAAAGAGAUAACUGUGGACUUUAGGAAGGAGCUGUCUGACCACUCCUCACUGCACAUGCACAGCUCCUCCAUGGAGAGCAUUAGGAGCACCAAGUUGCUGGGAGUGCAAAUAAUGGUCCCUCUCGGCCCCUCAACACCCUCUUUGGUCAAGAAAGCACAGCAUCUCCACUUCCUGAGGAGAUUGAGGUAAGUGAGGCUCCACUACUCCUACCCGGCCCAUUUUAACCAGUUUUUUACAGCAGCACCAUCAAGAGUACCCUGACCAGCUGCAUCGCUGUCUGGUAUGGGAAUUGCAAGGCAUCUAAUGUAAGUCCCUACAAAGGAUUGCAAGGACUGCUGAGAAGAUCAUCAUUAUCUUCCACUCAUUAGAGAUAUUUAUCAGGAGCGCUGCGUACACAGAGCACUUAGCAUUAUCAGAGACCCCUCCCAUUUGUCCAACAAUCUCUUUGACCCCUACCUACCUUAGGAUUCGGACAAGAAACAGCUUCUUCCCCCAAACUACAAGACUACUGAGCUCCCUGCUACCACCCAGGGCUCAUCACAUUUGAAGUGCCAGUAGUGUUAUACUGUUACUUUUUAACUUGUAUGUACAUGCACCUUAUUAUUUGUUAAUUUAUUUGUGGUAAUGUAACUUUAUGUGUUGUGUGUGUGAGUUACUGUAUAUAUACUGUGUUGUGCACCUUGGUCCAGAGGAACAUUUUGUAUACAUGUGUAUGGCUGAAUGACA